rnacentral:rRNA from 1 species
GAGAAAAACUUCGGCUCUCUUUGUUUUAGGGUGCCCCAACUAUCCCCGCAAUUGCGUGCCCAGUAGCCCCGUCGGAACCUGCCCCUGACCACCACCACUUGCCGAAAUCCACCGUCUCCACUUACUGGAGUCCACCACCUCAACUUGCAGGACGCGUGACUCCGGGGUCUCCCGCUGCGGCUUUGUAGCCGGUGUGUACCGCGUGACGGCCCUCCUCACCAGCGCAGCGACCAUCCUCCGCCCCUCCGCUGGCGCAGGAACCCUCCUCCACGCAGCGCGCACCGCUGCCACCUCCACAGCCCCCACUGGGGGCUGCUGCCGACCACCUUCGUCCCUCCGGUGCCGCCGUCCACUUCGAUCCCCCUGCUGCUGCCGUCCACCUUCGGUCCCCUAGGCUGCCACCGUGUAACUUCGGUCCCCCGCCGCCAGUCAGAACGUCGGGCGCGACCUUCCCCCUUCGGACACCAC